rnacentral:lncRNA from 1 species
AUUAUUAUUAUUUUUUUAAAGAUUUGUUUAUUCAUGACAGUCACAGAAAGAGAGGCAGAGGCAGGCUCCUUCCAGGGAGCCUGAUGUAGGACUUGAUCCUGGAACCCUGGGAUCAGAGCCUGAGUGGAAGGCAGAUGCUUAACCACUGAGUCGCCCAGGCACCCUUAUUUUAUUCUUUUUAAGUGCACAUAUUUUAAAAUGUAGGGAUGAUGUUGGUUGGCAUUGGUGGUAUAGUGAUAGAUGGGCAAUGAGGAGGGCACUUGAUGGGAUGAGCAUACUAUACAUGCUAUAUGUUGGCAAAUUGAAUUUAAAUUAAAAAAUGAAAAAAAAUGUAGGAAUGACCAAUAAAGGGUAGAAAGAAAAUAAAGGCAUCUCUUGCCUUAUAUCGGUAAUCUGUUAGAAUAAGAUGUUUUGUGUGAAAACAGACUGGAAUGAAACCUGGUUCCCAUUACGUUAAAUGGGAAAAAUGAUAACUCAUGACAUUUCAACAUCAAACCCCAAACAAUUUCUCAAAAGAGAGAUAAAAUAUAGUGUGUCACCUGCGUACAAGCAACGAUCUAUCACAUUAAGAUUUAAUAUGAUUAGACCAUUGCUUCCAUGUAUUACUGGCAAAGGAUAGACAUAAAGACCUAUAAAAUAGAAUAGAUAACCCAGAAAUAAACCCUCACAUAUAUGGCCAGUUGCUUUUCAACAAAGGUGCCAAAACCACUUAAUGGGAAAAGGACAGUCUUUUUAAUAAAUGGUCCUGGAAUAACUGGAUAGCCAUAUGCAAAAGAACAAAAUUGAACCCUUACCUUAUACCAUAAGCAAAAAUUAACUCAAAUGGAUCAAUUGGCCCAAAUGUGAGAGUUGAAACUAUAUAACUCUUAGAGGAAAACAUAGGGGAGAAGCUUUAUGACAUUGGAUUUGGCAAUGAUUUCUUGGAUAUGACACCAAAAGCACAGGCAACAAAAGAAAAAAUUGAUAAAUUGGACUUUAACAAAGUUUAAAACAUUUCUGUAUCAAAGAACACUAAUCAAGAGAAUGAAAGUCAAUUCAUGAAUGGAAGAAAAUAUUUGCAAAUUGUAUCUGAUAACAGAUUACUAUUCUGAAAAUAUGAAGAACUCUUACCACUCAACAAUGAACAACCCAAUCCAAAAAUAAGAAAAGGAUGUGAAUAAGUUCUCUCUUUUUUUGUAUGUUUUUUAUUGGAAUUUAAUUUGCCAACAUAUAGCAUAACACCCAAUGCUCAUCCCAAGUGCCCCCCUCAGUGCCCAUCACCCAGUCACCCCAACCCCC